UACGAGGGGGGCGAGCGUUGUUCGGAAUUAUUGGGCGUAAAGGGUGCGUAGGCGGUUCCGCAAGUCCUGUGUGAAAUCUUCGGGCUCAACUCGAAGUCUGCACGGGAAACUGCGGGGCUUGAGUGUGGGAGAGGUGAGUGGAAUUCCCGGUGUAGCGGUGAAAUGCGCAGAUAUCAGGAGGAACACCGGUGGCGAAGGCGGGUCUCUGGGCCGAUACUGACGCUGAGGAGCGAAAGCGUGGGGAGCGAACAGG
rnacentral:rRNA from 1 species